UGGAGUACCUAGCAUAGCACUUAGCCAAGAACAUGUCACCGUAAACCCCCGUGCCGCAAUCAGUUUUCAGCCGGCUGAUGGCCUCCGACAAGCAAUCCUGACACUGUCCUAAACUCAAAUCCCCAACACAUUGGGCCAAACCCUGGACCUCGCCUGACCCACCAGCUCGAUGAGGCCCACCAGCCCGAGCCAGGCCGGCCAUCACCGCAUCCCUAACACUCAUAGCAUCCGUAUCAUAACCAAUGGAUGGCCCACAUUUCUUCAAGACCACAGUCUUAUCCUCCACUCCUAAAAACGUAGUAUUGUCGUACUUAACAUAACAUCCUUGAAGCUGCACUGCUCCACCGCAUGUCUGA
rnacentral:misc_RNA from 1 species